rnacentral:rRNA from 1 species
GACGAACGCUGGCGGCGUGCUUAACACAUGCAAGUCGAACGGAAAGGCCCUGCUUUUGUGGGGUGCUCGAGUGGCGAACGGGUGAGUAACACGUGAGUAACCUGCCCUUGUCUUUGGGAUAACUUCAGGAAACUGGGGCUAAUACCGGAUAGGAGCUCCUGCUGCAUGGUGGGGGUUGGAAAGUUUCGGCGGUUGGGGAUGGACUCGCGGCUUAUCAGCUUGUUGGUGGGGUAGUGGCUUACGAGGGCUUUGACGGGUAGCCGGCCUGAGAGAUGGACCGGCCACAUUGGGACUGAGAGACGGCCCAGACGCCUACGGGAGGCAGCAGUGGGGAACAUGGCACAAUGGGCGGAAGCCUGAUGCAGCAGCGUCGCGUGCGGGAUGACGUCCUUCGGGUUGUAAACCGCUUUCGCCUGUGACGAAGCGUGAGUGACGGUAAUGGGUAAAGAAGCACCGGCUAACUACGUG